rnacentral:rRNA from 1 species
UCGGGAAUUUUGGGCAAUGGGCGAAAGCCUGACCCAGCAACGCCGCGUGAAGGAUGAAAUCUUUCGGGAUGUAAACUUCGCAAGAAUAGGAAGAAUAAGCACAGGAUAAAACUCUGUGUGAUGACGGUACUAUUUGUAAGCUCCGGCUAACUCCGUGCCAGCAGCCGCGGUAAUACGGGGGGAGCAAGCGUUGUUCGGAUUUACUGGGCGUAAAGGGCGCGUAGGCGGCGCAACAAGUCACUUGUGAAAUCUCCGGGCUUAACUCGGAACGGUCAAGUGAUACUGUUGUGCUAGAGUGCGGAAGGGGCAACUGGAAUUCUCGGUGUAGCGGUGAAAUGCGUAGAUAUCGAGAGGAACACCUGCGGCGAAGGCGGGUUGCUGGGCCGACACUGACGCUGAUGCGCGAAAGCCAGGGGAGCGAACGGGAUUAGAUACCCCCGUAGUCC